rnacentral:lncRNA from 1 species
UGCCUUCCUAGGUUCACCUGUGAGAACUUUUUGAAAUAUUACUAGAACUUGGAGAACUUUUCUCCAAUUGAAUCCACUGCUAAGGGUUCAUAUCUCUAAGCUGGGACUCAUCAAAUCGGGGGAUGGGGUGUCUCUUGCAGUUCCUCACUUAUCACCUGCCCCCUGUCCUCACACAGGAUUGAUAGCUUCUGCUGUGGUCUCCUGGGGAAGGCCUUCCAGCCUGCGGCAUUUGUAACUCUGCUGUCACCAAGUGUUAUAGAGGUCACCCCGGAGAAGACUCUUGCUCAGGGACAGAUGUAGCCUCACUCAUUGGGAUGAGCCAGGACCCUGGUCAGUGGGCACAGUUACAGGUGCCGAGGAGUCUUAGAACUGUCCAAGCAGAACAGAGCUAAAAGGGACC